UACGGAGGAUGCGAGCGUUAUCCGGAUUUAUUGGGUUUAAAGGGUGCGUAGGCGGACUGUCAAGUCAGCGGUAAAAUUGAGAGGCUCAACCUCUUCCCGCCGUUGAAACUGGUGGUCUUGAGUGGAUGAGAAGUACGCGGAAUGCGUGGUGUAGCGGUGAAAUGCAUAGAUAUCACGCAGAACUCCGAUUGCGAAGGCAGCGUACCGGCAUCCAACUGACGCUGAGGUACGAAAGCGUGGGGAGCAGACAGG
rnacentral:rRNA from 1 species